rnacentral:rRNA from 1 species
UGGGGAAUUUUGGACAAUGGGCGCAAGCCUGAUCCAGCAAUGCCGCGUGCAGGAUGAAGGCCUUCGGGUUGUAAACUGCUUUUGUACGGAACGAAAAGGCUCUGGUUAAUACCUGGGGCCCAUGACGGUACCGUAAGAAUAAGCACCGGCUAACUACGUGCCAGCAGCCGCGGUAAUACGUAGGGUGCAAGCGUUAAUCGGAAUUACUGGGCGUAAAGCGUGCGCAGGCGGUGUUGUAAGACAGAGGUGAAAUCCCCGGGCUCAACCUGGGAACUGCCUUUGUGACUGCAACGCUAGAGUACGGCAGAGGGGGAUGGAAUUCCGCGUGUAGCAGUGAAAUGCGUAGAUAUGCGGAGGAACACCGAUGGCGAAGGCAAUCCCCUGGGCCUGUACUGACGCUCAUGCACGAAAGCGUGGGGAGCAAACA